AUAUCAGACCCCUCCCAUCUUCUCCUUCACUCCACCAGUCCACCUGAGUCUUCCUGCUGGCGUCCCCUACUCUCCUCCAUGGCGUUGGCUCUCCGACCAGGAUGGCGCAGGCGAGCGCUGCACCGAGCGGGCGAGGAAGGCAUGAGGGGCGGAUAGUAGGUGCAGGCAUGUGCCCCGUGCAAGCAUGAAUGGCGGCCGGCGGAUGCACAUCAGGCGUUCCGCAGGUGAGUUUUUCCUCCCGUAAGCAUCCUAACAUCCAGUGCUCUUGCUUCCAAAAUCAAAACGGAUUUCUAUUCACUGGAUCCAAAUCGCCCCAACCCAAAUUGCGCUUGUUGCCCUCAAAUUAAGCUCUCUAGUUCAUCACUUCUAUCUACUUCUUCUUGGGCCUCGAAUCCAUCUCCCCACUCUGUUCUUUCCCAUCGUUCCCGUUGUGACUGCACCCUUGCCGUUGCCUCGCUCCCGAGUCCCAUCACGCUUCUGGCAUUUGCUCUCUCUCCUGCGCUACAGCAGCGCGGCUCACCGGCGAGGGCUGCACUGAUGAGGGCCGUAUCGCAUUGCGCUGUCAACGGAGGCACAACUCGCUUAUGAGGGUCAUGCUGUGAUAUGGCAGUGUCUCCAGCACGCAGCACAGGCGCGCAAGGCGGCCCCUGCCAGCACCAACGGCUGAUUUGUAGCACUCAGCAAGGUCUCAGGUCUGUAGCUCCAUCCGCUCCAAUUCCACCUCCUGCUGUCCAUAUGUGUCUCAUCAAUGGAGGAUGCACACUAUGUGUUUGAUGAUUUGCCAGCGCAAACCAAACCAAUGAUCUGUUCAUGGAGGUGCACACCAUAUGUUUGAUAGUUUGCCUUGGCAAUGGUGAGUCGGUGAACAAUCAACCAUGCCUAGAUUUCUGCACAGAUAACAAUAAAAGUGAAUAGAAAUGUGCUGACACAUUCAGUUUACUUGCCUUGUCUAAGGUCAUAAUUCUAGUUUCUAGCUCUCGAAAAUGAAUCAUAUUUUUGUAACAAUAAAUUUGUAAUAAUCUAUAAGUUCCUUGGGCAUGCUCCUGUGGUAAUCUUAUAUCAAGUUCAGCAUAUUGCAUAUUUGCAUUUGGAAAUAGACAAUGAUUCUUUAUCCUUUAACCUUUAUUAACCAUGCCCUAAUUUCUGCAAAAGUUUGAAUAAAAAGUGACUACACAUGUAGUUGGCAAGGAGUCCUAUUUGAUGAAAACAAGAAGGCACAUUCAGUCUACUUGCAUUGCCUUAGGUAAUGAUUCUAGAUCGGAAAUGAAUCUUAUUUUUCAAGCCAUAAAUUUAACAAGCUAAAAGUACCUUGGAUAUGCUCAUAUGCUUUUCUUAUGUCAACUUCAGAGCAAACCACAUAUUUGCAUUGACAAAAGGAAAAUAGUUCUUUAUCCAUUAGCCAUUGUGAUUAAGCUCACGUACUGUAUGUGUUUGCGACACGGUAUGAUCUGAUGUAACCAUACUUCUUGACAUAUAAUUACGGAUUUUCUGGCGAGGAUCAAUACCAGUAGUUGUAGAAAUAAAUAAGACAAUCAUUAUGAUUCUUGCACCUUCUGCUAUAUGCUCUUGUAUAUCUGCAUAAGAAUACUUAACCAUUUGACACUUACCUCUACUAAAAGCUAUUAUUUAACUGCAGGUGAAUACUUGGUAUUUUCCCUUUUGUAUUGCAAGAAAAUUUACGUAACAACAAAAAAAAUCAGCUGUUGUAUUUGAUUUGUUGAUUUUGCGUAGAUAUUAUUGAUUUACUUUCCAAUUGAUUACAAUGUUCUUUGAGAUAAAGCUCUGCCCAAGAUCCUUUUGCAGUGAUGUUGUACUAUUAACUUUUGUGGUGACUGCUUCCAACCGAGCUGUUGUGCUUUCUGUGUAAUGAGACACCACUGUGCUGAUGGCUAAAAGGUCUUAUGUAUUUAGUUCCUGCUCAUGUCUUUUCUUCUUUUUUUCCCACCGCUCCAUUUAUUUACUUCACCAAACAUGAUCCAUAUACCUCCCUAGGGAGUAUGAUACAAGUAGUUUUUUUUCCGGAUGUGUAUAGUGCACCAAAGAAAACAUAGCAAAUUGCAAAUUGACAGUUAUGAAGCUACUUUUCUGGUGUUGUUUUGCAGCAUUGCACCUUAAGCGAGGAGGACCUUUUUAUAUAAGAAUUUUUUUAAUUUCAUUAUCAUAGAAAUAUGAGAUAACAGUGGAUAUUUCCAGCAAAGAUCAGGGUGUUUCUUCUCUUGGACUAGGUCCAAUUUUUAUUUCCCAAUAGAAUACAAUGACAAACACAUAUUAGCACAUGUUUGGCAUAGGCUUGACACAUGCAAUGAGGCAAUUGUUAAUUACAUUUUAGUGACACAAAUAGUCAAGUUCAGACUAAAUAGUGAACAAACCAUUUUUUAGUGAUGCAUUCAAACAGGAAUUGGAUGGAUCCUCGCAAAAAGUACAUAGAGAGUUUGGAUGUAUAAUGGGUGUGCACACCUGAACUCAAUUGGAUCUUAAAGCAUCUGGAGUCGUGAUCUCUCUGAAUUUUGUAAUGAAAAAGAAGCAACAUGAUUGAGCUUUGGUACAUUACUAAAUAUAGCAUUAUGAAGAUAUGUACGGAUCUAUUCAUUUUCUUUUUUGAAAGACUGAUGGAGUUAUUGUUUUAGGAUAAUAGUUCUAGCUAUAGUAACUGUAAUAAAUAUCCUGAUUUGGAUAACAUCAAGUCCAACAAAUAUCUUUAGAUAAUAUUAAAAGUAUAGUCGCUAUUUGGAUUGAACACCUUACCAAUAUUAUUUGGUAAGGUGUUCAAUCCAAACAGUUAUUUGAUCAGGUUCAUGCUCUGAAUAUUCUAGACUAUCUGAAUUCAUGCAUUUGGAUGUUUGGCUUGCAGACACAAGUCAUUACCUGGAGGUCCAAAAGGUAAAUAACUUCAAACCUACCUGUUUAAAUUAUCGCAACAUAUUAUAUUAUACAAUAGAUCUGUUUCUUUUCACAAAUGCUUCGAGAUUAUUCAAUGCAGAGUCUGCAAAUCUUAAAUUUCGAGUCCUAUCAGAGUUACUAGAUGCUAACUCUUUCAGAUAAUCUCAGUGGAAGACAUACUCACAAAGAUCAAUGAUUUUCAUACUUCCUCAUUGUACUCACGAGGGAUGCCGCUCCAUAGUAUUUGUAGGGAUCUAUAUUAUCUCUUUAACAUUGCACAACCUAAUAUGGAUCUCUUUACUUAGGAAGAGUUGUGUCCAGAUCCUUCAUGAAAUAUCUUAAACCUUGAUUGAUGGAUUUGGUUUCUGCAGGCUGUGUGGCUCAUCUUGAAGAACUUAAUCCACUAAACUACAAACACAUGGUACAUUGCUGAUCGACACAAUCCUUACAUGCCUUCUCUUCUAUAUGUGCUGGUGCACAUAAAGGCAUCCAAAUCACGCCACAUCAACUAAUAAACCAAAAGAAAUAAUUCAGUUGCACUAAACAUGAGUAACACGAGUUGCUUUCAUUUUUCAGGCUAUAUCACACCCGUAGGCUAAAGUAUACCAUGACAUUGAUACUUAUAAUUAUAACCUCAUACUUCCUCAUUUUUUUAAUGAUGUAUCGACAAUGUUCUAGAUGAACAUGUUUCGAAUGAUAAGGUAUUGCUCUUUCUCUUCUCAGUCCAAGCUGUUGUCCCUAAUUAAGUCCAAGUAGGGUUUAAGUCCAUAGUACCAAUUUUCUUAUUGACAGUUGAUGUUUCCCAAUACUGUGCAUACAUAUUCUCAACAAUAAUCAUUUAACUUUUAUUGUCCACACCUUAUGGAAUGAACAGGUGUACCGUGACGUAGUCAAGUCCAUAAUUCAAAUUAUAUUUCAGAGAAUGAAAGAAACAUGUUUUGCUUGUGGCCAAACAUGUUAGUUCUUACAAGGAAGCUUAUCUUAUACAUUAUAUUUUUACGCAUAAAUGAAUUGUAGUUUGCGAUAGUUUCUGCUGAUCAUGUCAACAUCAUAUUGCGACCUUUUUCUGUCAUUAGUAUACUGGACUUUAUCAACUGCUUCGUGACAGAAUAUAGUGUUAUCCUUCCUAAAAGGCCGGAUAAUCAUGUCCAUUGAAAAUGCUACCAGUUGCAUUUUUGUUCCAUUGCCGAAUAUAAUAUACCUUUUCUACGUGCCAAUUAUAGAGAACUAUGCAACUUGCAACUGUGGGGAUAAUGUAUUUCCAUAGGUGCAGUUUGUGAAGCACGUUUCAACAAUGCUCUUUGAAUGACACUAUACUACAAGAUGAGUGGAUCUUCAACAAACAGCCAAGAAGCUUGGUCCCUUUUGUUUAUUUGUAAUACCUGAAGCUUCAUCAUAUGGUCAUGACAAUGGGAUGACAAGGGGCUCAUGCGAGAAAAUGAGCCAAAAAAUUGGUAACCUAACAUACCAGCCCCUCCAAUAGCACGACAAGGCAUCAAGACCUUCCCAAGUGAAGCAAGUGGGAAAUACAAUGUCAUUCCCAAGACCCCAAUCCAUUUCCUAUUUCUGUGUCUCUACUUAUGUAUGUUUGUAAAACUAUGAACCUGUAUAUAAUUAGAUAUCUACAUCUGUACUCGAUCACCAGUCAAUGAAAAUAUUGUUCAUAUUAUUAGUUUA